AAGGGUUCUGUCUCAUAUA
rnacentral:rRNA from 2 species